rnacentral:tRNA from 1 species
ACUUUUAUAAUUUAUUUGUAGAAUAUUGCGUUGAAGUUGCAAAAGAGGUAAGAUUACCUGAAAGUGU